rnacentral:lncRNA from 1 species
CCAGUCUUCAGAGCAUUGGAGUUUGGUGUUUGUGAAUUGUGAUUGUGUCAACAGCUACUGGAGUGUAACUAAGAAAACCUCAACCAGCUGCGUUGUUAGCACUUUUUAUGUUUUAUGUGUUACUUUUAGGAGACAAAUCACUUGGAAGUAAGAUUUUUUAAAUUUAAAAUAAAACCUUCAGGGUGUGUGAUGGGACAGACAGAUGAGCGUGAAUCGGUUUCUAAGUUAGUGGCAGCACGUGAUGGCCAGGGUUCUGUUUUCCUGGUCAGGGUGUAAUUGGUGAUGAGGAUGAUGAGUGGAUGUUUCCCAGCAGCUGGGAAAUGAAGCUUGCUGGAAAAUCAGACCGUCCUUGUAAUUUAUAACGAGCCCCCGUAAGGGGCCAGGAGCUCCUGUUGAUUGGCGGGAGGGCUCAGUCAGGAGGACCAUUUUAUUUUCUUUGUGUCAAAGCAACUGUGUUUCUGAUUUUAAUUGUGUUGUGGUGGUGAACACAGGAGUGGGAUGAGCAGAGGCCGUUCUGGAGGGCAGCUUGUAACAUGUGGGUGACCCUCUAUUUAAAUUUAAAUAGCUGUUUCCAUUUAUCUCAAGAAUAUAAGCAGAGGCAGGAGCCUGGGAUGGGACAGAGGCAUGUCCACUGAAGUGUCCUUCACAAAGUGUCCUUGCAAAAAGGAACAACCAGGGUAAUUAUCCAGCAGCAAUACAGUGAUCCUCCCAGUGAGGUCGGUGCU